UGUUUUUCUGAACAUAUUUAUGUAUCUUGAUUUUGUUUUGGUUUUUUAAUGUUGGGUUUUUUCUGAAACCCUAAAUCUAUUUUUUUUUUCAUUUGAUACAUGUUAUUUCUUUGACUAUGAUUGUUGUUAUACUAUGAUUUGAAGUAUUUGAAGGUUUUGAAAUUGUUAUGGUUUUGUUUCAAAAUUGAUUAGGGUUUUUGAAACUGGAUUUGAUGCAGGUGUGGAUGGAGAAGUUACAAUCUUUACUUACUCAAGUAUACACUCCUUUUAAGUUGUUUGAGUUAGGUUUUGGAUGGGCAUGGAAGUCCUGAUGCAGCUGUGUUUGUUAAGAAAAAUGCUAUGAAAAUAUUUUUUUGAAGACGUUACAAUGCUGUAGUCAUAUGACACUGCUGCACUUCUAAUUAAGAGGUUGGAAGAUUCUCAUCAGAAAGUUUUUCUAGGUGUCGACCUUGCGAUGGUUGAUGAACAGAGUAUUAGUAGUUCUUCUGGGACAACAACACUGACUGCCUUGAUACUUGGAAAGCAUUUGCUUGUUGCUAAUGUUGGUGAUUGUCGAGCAGUUUUUUAAGAGGACCACAGACGGAGUUAUUCUUUGUUUUGUUUUCACUAUGGGUUUUUUUUAGAAAAACUACUUCAUACUGUUAUGUAAUAUAUUUGAUAUACCUACUGCAUAUUUAAGCAAUUUGGAAUAAUUGUUGUGAAAUCAACUUGUAGGUUCACUUUGUCUUAAAAGAACUUGUGAGAAAAUCAAUAGGUGAAACUGAGGAGCUGAGACGUUUCCCUACUCUUCAAACCGAAUUAUCUGCAGCUACAAAUGAGGCUCUAGAGAGAUUCCGUGAAGCGAGUAAGAAGACAACUAUUCGGCUUGUGGAUAUGGAGUCUUCAUAUCUUAUUGUGGAUUUCUUUCGGAAACUUCCUCAAGAAAUGGAGAAAGCUGGUAAUCUAGGGAUACCUUCUAAUCCAGCUCAACCUACUAAUCCAUCUAAUCGUCCUGUCCCUAACCCAAUCGAGGAUCGAUAUGGUGAUAGGCAUUUUAGAAGCAUUGGAUCAAAUGUGUCAUCCUAUAUAGGUUUGGUGUCUGACACACUCAAGAUCACUAUUCCAAACGCCGUGGUUUAUUGUCAGGUCAGAGAAGCAAAACUAUCAUUGCUAAGCUAUUUCUUCACACAAAUUGGGAAAAAAGAGAUGUCUUCAGUUUUGGUGUGGUACUUCUUGAGCUUAUCAGUGGUCGACAUCCUAUUCAUAAAACGCGUACCAAAUGGACAGAGAAGAGCAUCUUGUAUGGUGUUUCUUUGUCAGCUAUCAGCAAAAGUUUGGUCCUGAUCGAUCCAGAAGUAUCUAAAACUCAAAAGCUUAGAUGCUGGGUAUAAAGCAUGCUGCUCUUGCUAAAGUGAAUGAUCCUAAAGUGAAGCAAUUUAUAGAGAAGCAAUUUAUAGAGAUGUUUUUGAAGUAGAAUUCAGUUUUGAAGGAAUGGCUGACACUGAAAUUGUGUCUUUGUCGGUGUUUGUGUUCGAAACCGAUACCGAAAUUAUGAUCACUUUUGGUGCCACUACAAAUAUGGUGAGUUGUAAAUUGGUUGUAGGUUUUAGAAGUUAGUUAUGGUGAGUUGUAAAUUCUGUUAGAGGUUGUUAUUGAAGUUGUUAGAAGUUAGUAGUAGUAUUAACUGUCAGGCUAAUUGAGUAAGACUGUUAAACGGCAGCCAAGAUAGUUUUUGUUGUUGUUGUUGUUGUUGUAUUGACACACUCCAGCAUGUUAUCGACUAAUUUUGUUAUAUUGUAAAAACUAACCGACAUGCAUGUUAUGAUAAUUUUGGAGCAGUAAUGGUGGUGAAGAUAAGCAAAUGGGAUGAUAAUGUUAUGAAACUAUUAAACAAAUUUCUACAAUUUAUCAAUUACAGCACAAGUGUAAUGAAGAGAAUGAAGAUUUAUCUUCAGUUUUUUUUACUAAUGUUUCUUUUUGGUCUUGGAGCAAGACAUUGAUAAACAGGGAGAGGCAUUUGAAUAUCAUUUUCAAAUUGAUGGGAACCCAAGGCAAA